rnacentral:rRNA from 1 species
CUGAGUACGGCGGAACACGUGAAAUUCCGUCGGAAUCCGGGAGGACCAUCUCCCAAGGCUAAAUACUCCCUAGUGACCGAUAGUGAACCAGUACCGUGAGGGAAAGGUGAAAAGCACCCCGGAAGGGGAGUGAAACAGUUCCUGAAACCGUGUGCCUACAAGUAGUUAGAGCCCGUUAAUGGGUGAUAGCGUGCCUUUUGUAGAAUGAACCGGCGAGUUACGAUUUGUUGCAAGGUUAAGCGGAAAAAGCGGAGCCGUAGCGAAAGCGAGUCUGAAUAGGGCGCAUAAGUAACAGGUCGUAGACCCGAAACCAGGUGAUCUACCCAUGUCCAGGAUGAAGGUAAGGUAAUACUUACUGGAGGUCCGAACCCACGCACGUUGAAAAGUGCGGGGAUGAGGUGUGGGUAGCGGAGAAAUUCCAAUCGAACUUGGAGAUAGCUGGUUCUCUCCGAAAUAGCUUUAGGGCUAGCCUCGAGGUAAAGAGUCAUGGAGGUAGAGCACUGUUUGGACUAGGGGCCCUUCUCGGGUUACCGAAUUCAGAUAAACUCCGAAUGCCAUGUACUUAUACUCGGGAGUCAGACUGCGAGUGAUAAGAUCCGUAGUCGAAAGGGAAACAGCCCAGACCACCAGUUAAGGUCCCCAAAUAUAUGUUAAGUGGAAAAGGAUGUGGGGUUGCUUAGACAACCAGGAUGUUGGCUUAGAAGCAGCCACCAUUGAAAGAGUGCGUAAUAGCUCACUGGUCGAGUGACCCCGCGCCGAAAAUGUACCGGGGCUAAACAUAUUACCGAAACUGUGGAUGAACCUCUUUAGAGGUUCGUGGUAGGAGAGCGUUCUAAGGGCGGUGAAGUCAGACCGGAAGGACUGGUGGAGCGCUUAGAAGUGAGAAUGCCGGUAUGAGUAGCGAAAGAAGGGUGAGAAUCCCUUCCACCGAAUAUCUAAGGUUUCCUGAGGAAGGCUCGUCCGCUCAGGGUUAGUCGGGACCUAAGCCGAGGCCGAUAGGCGUAGGCGAUGGACAACAGGUAGAGAUUCCUGUACCAGUGCUAAUUGUUUAACCGAUGGGGUGACACAGAAGGAUAGGGAAUCGCACGAAUGGAAAUGUGCGUCCAAGCAGUGAGUGUGAGAAGUAGGCAAAUCCGCUUCUCGCGAAGCAUGAGCUGUGAUGGGGAAGGAAAUUAAGUACGGAAGUUCCUGAUUUCACGCUGUCAAGAAAAGCCUCUAGGAAGAGUAGUACUGCCCGUACCGCAAACCGACACAGGUAGAUGAGGAGAGAAUCCUAAGGUGAGCGAGAGAACUCUCGUUAAGGAACUCGGCAAAAUGACCCCGUAACUUCGGGAGAAGGGGUGCUCUAUUAGGGUGCAAGCCCGAGAGAGCCGCAGUGAAUAGGCCCAGGCGACUGUUUAGCAAAAACACAGGUCUCUGCAAAACCGUAAGGUGACGUAUAGGGGCUGACGCCUGCCCGGUGCUGGAAGGUUAAGAGGAGUGCUUAGCUUCGGCGAAGGUACGAAUUGAAGCCCCAGUAAACGGCGGCCGUAACUAUAACGGUCCUAAGGUAGCGAAAUUCCUUGUCGGGUAAGUUCCGACCCGCACGAAAGGCGCAACGAUCUGGGCACUGUCUCAACGAGAGACUCGGUGAAAUUAUAGUACCUGUGAAGAUGCAGGUUACCCGCGACAGGACGGAAAGACCCCGUGGAGCUUUACUGCAACCUGAUAUGGAAUGUUUGUACCGCUUGUACAGGAUAGGUAGGAGCCGAAGAGACGUGUGCGCUAGCAUACGAGGAGGCAAUGGUGGGAUACUACCCUGGCUGUAUGACCAUUCUAACCCGCCACGCUUAGCGCGUGGGGAGACAGUGUCAGGUGGGCAGUUUGACUGGGGCGGUCGCCUCCUAAAGAGUAACGGAGGCGCCCAAAGGUUCCCUCAGAAUGGAUGGAAAUCAUUCGCAGAGUGUAAAGGCACAAGGGAGCUUGACUGCGAGACUGACAAGUCGAGCAGGGACGAAAGUCGGGCUUAGUGAUCC